CAGCCCUAGCUGAAAAUUACCGAACAGGCGCGGCUUAGUAAGCCACAAGCCCAAAGGCCGCGAGGUGAUAAGAAU
rnacentral:sRNA from 12 species